rnacentral:piRNA from 1 species
UGUUCAGAUAUUAACUGAUAA